GCAAAAAUUUCAAACUUCUUUCUAUGGACUAGAACAGUGGUCUCCAAUCCCUGGGUUGCACACUGGUUUUAUCAAUGUCCAACAUGCAUUUAUUGAGCACCUACCUAGUACUGUGAGGCAAAGGGGAUAUAGCAGGGAACCAGACAAUGCCCCUGCAUUUCUGGGGCUUCUAUCCUAGUUGAGGAGAAAACACACACUAAAUAUUUAUUUGGUUCCAUGUGAUAGGUCUGCAAAGGGGACCAAAACAUGCUCCUGUCUUAGGGCAUUUGCUUCAGCUGUUCCCACUGCCUGGAACUGUCUUGCCCAAGAUACCCACUUAGCUCACUCCCUCCACCUUCUGUCUUGUCUGGAAGGGAUCAUAACUGAGAUAGAAAAGUUGUCAUGUCAGGCUGCUUCUGGACCUGAGGUUGUGUUAAUGAAUAAAUGAUGACUUUCUGACCAGAUCUUUAUAGUUUUUUUCUAUCAUUUAAAGUAGAAGAUGGUACACAUAAAAUGAUUUGGAAUAUGGUUCAGGUGAUGGGUUCGUUAGUUGCCAUGGUGAUUACUCAGCCAUGAGUCAAUGUUCCUUCUUUAAACAGUUCCAACAUCUUAAUAAGCAUAAAAAUCAACUGCAGCCAGGUGCAGUGGCUCAUGCCUGUAAUCCCAGCACUUUGGGAGGCCAAGGUGGGAGGAUCACUUGGAGCUGGGAGUUUAAGACCAGCUUGGGCAAUAAAGGGAGACCCCGUCUCUAUAAAAAUAUUUAUUUAAAAUACUGGCAGAGCAUGGUUGUGCAUGCCUGCAGUCCCAGCUACUUGGGAGGUUGAGGUGUGAGGAUCGCUUGAGCCCAGGAGUGUGAAGUUACAGUGAGUAUGAUGAUUGCACCACUGUACUCCAACCUGGGUGACAGAGCAAGACCCUGUCUCUUAAAAAAAAAAUCAACUACAGAGUGUGUCUAAAAUAUUUAUUCCUGGGACCCUUCUUCAGGAUCUGAUUCAGUAGGGCUGGGUAUGGGCCCCGGGAAUUUGUGUUUUUAACAAACACCCUGUCUUAGUCUAUUUUACCUUCCUACAAAGGAAUACCUGAGGCUGAGUAAUUCAUAAAGAAAAAAAGCCCGGGUGCAGUGGCUCACGCCUGUAAUGCCAGCACUUUGGGAGGCCGAGGCAGGCAGAUAACUUGAGGUCAGGAGUUCGAGAGCAGCCUGGCCAACAUGGUGAAAUCCUGUUUCUAUUAAAAAUACAAAAAUGUUCUGGGCAUGGUGGUGUGCACCUGUAAUCUCAGCUACUCGGGAGGCUGGGGCAUAAGAAUUUCUUGAACCCAGGAGGCUGAGGUUGCAGUGAGCUGAGAUCAUGCAGAGACUCCGUCUCAAAAAAGAAAAAAAGAAGUUUAUUUGGCUUAUGGCUCUGCAGAUUGUAAAAAGCAUGGUACCAGCAUCUGUUUUUGGUGAGGGCUUCAGGAAGCUUCCACUCAUGGUGGAAGGGGAAGGGCAGCUGAUGUGUGCAGAUCACAUGAUGAGAGAGAAACAAGACAGAGCCGGGAAGGAGAUGCCAGGCUCUUUUUAACAAUCAGAUCCUGAGUGAAUUCAUAGAACAAGAAGUCCCUCAUUACCGUAGAGGGGGACACCAAGCUGAUCAUGAGGGAUCCGCCCCCAUGACCCAAACACAACCCACCAGGUCCCACCUCUCACACUGGGGCUCAAAUUACAACAUGAGAUUUGGAAGGGAUAAAUAUCCAAACCAUAUCACACUC
rnacentral:lncRNA from 1 species